CCCGACUGCUAUGGGGAUGGGACUAAGCCAUGUUAGUCUUGUGCUUCAGGCUAUGUUGAAGCACGGCGGACGGCUCCGUAGAACGUGGCCAACCUACCCUCAGGAUGGGAAUAACCCCGGGAAACUGGGGAUAAUUCCCAAUAGAAGAAAGGACCUGGAAUGGCCUUUCUUCCAAAGAUGUUAAGAUCAUGCCUCUUAAUAUCGCCUGAGGAUGGAGCCACGGCCCAUCAGGUAGUUGGUGGGGUAACUGCCUACCAAGCCUAUAACGGGUACGGGCCGUGAGAGCGGGAGCCCGGAGAUGGGCACUGAGACAAGGGCCCAGGCCCUACGGGGUGCAGCAGGUGCGAAAACUACACAAUGCGCGAAAGCGCGAUGUGGCUAUCCCCAGUGCUAUCCGCUAAGGAUAGCUUUUCCUUGGUGUAAGGAGCCAAGGGUAAUAAGCGGGGGGUAAGUCUGGUGUCAGCCGCCGCGGUAAUACCAGCUCCGCGAGUAGUCGGGAAGUUUAUUGGGCCUAAAGCGUCCGUAGCCGGCUUAAUAAGUCCUUGGCUAAAACUCAGAGCUCAACUUUGAGAUGGCUAAGGAUACUGUUAGGCUAGGGGGCGGGAGAGGCCGAGGGUACUUCCGGGGUAGGGGCGAAAUCCUAUAAUCCCGGGAGGACCACCAGUGGCGAAGGCGCUCGGCUGGAACGCGCCCGACGGUGAGGGACGAAAGCCGGGGGAGCGAAGGGGAUUAGAUACCCCCGUAGUCCCGGCUGUAAACAAUGUAGGCUAGGUGUUAGGUGGGCUUCGGGCCCACCUAGUGCCGCAGCGAAGGUGUUAAGCCUACCGCCUGGGGAGUACGGCCGCAAGGCUGAAACUUAAAGGAAUUGGCGGGAGAGCACCACAAGGGGUGAAGCCUGC
rnacentral:rRNA from 1 species